rnacentral:rRNA from 1 species
GAGGAGAAGAAACCCACAGGGAUUGCCUCAGUAACGGCGAGUGAAGCGGCAAAAGCUCAAAUUUGAAAUCUAGCACCUUCGGUGUUUGAGUUGUAAUUUGAAGAUGGUAACCUUGGGUUUGGCUCUUGUCUAUGUUCCUUGGAACAGGACGUCAUAGAGGGUGAGAAUCCCGUCUGAUGAGAUGCCCAUUCCUAUGUAAGGUGCUAUCGAAGAGUCGAGUUGUUUGGGAAUGCAGCUCUAAGUGGGUGGUAAAUUCCAUCUAAAGCUAAAUAUUGGCGAGAGACCGAUAGCGAACAAGUACAGUGAUGGAAAGAUGAAAAGAACUUUGAAAAGAGAGUGAAAAAGUACGUGAAAUUGUUGAAAGGGAAGGGCAUUAGAUCAGACUUGGUGUUUUACGAUUAUCUUCUCUUCUUGAGUUGUGCACUCGUAUUUCACUGGGCCAGCAUCGAUUCGGAUGGCAAGAUAAUGGCAGUUGAAUGUGGCUUCACUUCGGUGGAGUGUUAUAGCUUCUGCUGAUAUUGCCUGUCUGGAUCGAGGGCUGCGUCUUUUGACUAGGAUGCUGGCGUAAUGAU